rnacentral:rRNA from 1 species
GUAGGUGGCAAGCGUUGUCCGGGAAUUAUUGGGGCGUAAAGCGCGCGCAGGCGGUUCUUUAAGUCUGAUGUGAAAGCCCACGGGCUCAACCGUGGAGGGUCAUUGGAAACUGGAGAACUUGAGUACAGAAGAGGAAAGCGGAAUUCCACGUGUAGCGGUGAAAUGCGUAGAGAUGUGGAGGAACACCAGUGGCGAAGGCGGCUUUCUGGUCUGUAACUGACGCUGAGGCGCGAAAGCGUGGGGAGCAAUCAGGAUUAGAUACCCUGGUAGUCCACGCCGUAAACGAUGAGUGCUAAGUGUUAGGGGGUUUCCGCCCCUUAGUGCUGCAGCUAACGCAUUAAGCACUCCGCCUGGGGAGUACGGCCGCAAAGGCUGA